CCUACGGGAGGCAGCAGUGGGGAAUAUUGCACAAUGGGGGGAACCCUGAUGCAGCGACGCCGCGUGGGUGAAGGAGUACUUCGGUACGUAAAGCCCUAUCAGCAGGAAAGAAAAUGACGGUACCUGUCUAAGAAGCCCCGGCUAACUACGUGCCAGCAGCCGCGGGAAAUCGUAGGGGGCAAGCGUUAUCCGGAUUUACUGGGUGUAAAGGGAGCGUGGACGGCAGUGCAAGUCCGGAGUGAAAGCUCGGGGGUCAACCCUGGGACUGCUCUGGAAACUGUAAAGCUGGAGUGCGGGAGGGGCAUGCGGAAUUCCUGGUGUAGCGGUGAAAUGCGUAGAUAUCGAGAAGAACACUCAUGGCGAAGGCGGGUUCCUGGACAUUAACUGACGCUGAGGCACGAAGGCCAGGGGAGCGAAAGGGAUUAGAUACCCCUGUAGUC
rnacentral:rRNA from 1 species